AGCGAACGCUGGCGGCAGGCCUAACACAUGCAAGUCAAACGAACCUUUCGGGGUUAGUGGCGGACGGGUGAGUAACACGUGGGAACGUGCCUUUAGGUUCGGAAUAACUCAGGGAAACUUGUGCUAAUACCGAAUGUGCCCUUCGGGGGAAAGAUUUAUCGCCUUUAGAGCGGCCGCGUCUGAUUAGCUAGUUGGUUGAGGUAAUGGCUCACCAAGGCGACGAUCAGUAGCUGGUCUGAGAGGAUGAUCAGCCACAUUGGGACUGAGACACGGCCCAAACUCCUACGGGAGGCAGCAGUGGGGAAUCUUGCGCAAUGGGCGAAAGCCUGACGCAGCCAUGCCGCGUGAAUGAUGAAGGUCUUAGGAUUGUAAAAUUCUUUCACCGGGGACGAUAAUGACGGUACCCGGAGAAGAAGCCCCGGCUAACUUCGUG
rnacentral:rRNA from 1 species